GGAGGGAUGGCUGAGUCCGGUUUAAGGCGCUCGAUUCGAAAUCGAGUGUAGUGCAAGCUACCGUGGGUUCGAAUCCCACUCCCUCCGCCA
rnacentral:tRNA from 1 species